rnacentral:tRNA from 1 species
GAGAUAAUAGCUCAGUGGCACAGCGCCUGCCUGGAAAGCAGGAAGUAUUGAGUUCAAUUUCUGGCA